GCUGUCAGUGCAGUGUUCCAGAGUCCCAAUUCCUUGCAACUCUUUAAAGGUUCUGACAAGUCCUGCAGUUUAGAACAUUAACUUUAUUUGAUCCGGAGUUUCUAAAACUUGUUUUUGCCGUAGAGGCCCUCUCUGGGCCAAUGUUUUCAAACAACUGAGAAGCAGGAGGGAAUGCCCCCCUCCCUUGCCCUGUCCAAUCCUAUUUCCUUUUAUGGAGUAGAGGGGGCUGCUGUCUCAGGGCUGAGCUGGGACUCUCCUCAAUUUGGGAUUACAGACACAGCAGGUCAGACAGGUGCUUUUUGGGAAGGGGCUGGUUGAGAGGCGAGGACUGGGUCAGACCUACUCGUAAGGGGUUUCUGUUGAAAUAAAAUCCUUUCCAAAAAAAAAAAAAAAAAUUUCUGUGGCUCAGACUUUCUCUUGCCCAGAAUUUUAAAAGAGUGGGGCAUUUUGACUCAAACGAAGGCAAAGGGGGUUGACAUAUGGAUUCCUGAGUCUCACUUUCUAUUAGCAUCGUCUAGUUUUUUAAUUUGACUUGGGUGCAAGACUGAUGACACGAUUUCCAGGUCCCUGUGCAAAACGAAAGUGCUGGGGGCCCCUGCUCAGAAGUCAAGGUCAAGAGAGGGGGGGCGGAGCAUUAAACGGCGUGGGGGCUCCUUGCGAGCUUGGGCCCCGUGACUGUGCAGGUCACGUGCCCAUGAGGCCGGCCCUGGCCCGGUGCGUAUUUGCGCUUACCCAUUUCAAAGUUCACUGCUCUGAGGACCUGUAAGGUCCGUAGGGAAGACCCAGCGGCUUAGGAGAGGACUGUGACCUUCGCAUAAUGGGCUAGAUCCGGGCCCCCGCGUGGAGGGGUCUCUGCGGGGUGGAUCGGUGAUGGAGCUUUUUUAGCCUCACUCAGCACUCUCCCUGACUCAUCAGCGAUGAUGCUGCUGCUGCGGCCCGGCCCCCGGCCCCGUGUAGUUCACAUUAUCAUCGUAAUGAGCUGCUGCUUCUCCAGUGAAAACACUGCUCUAGCCUGGGCGUUUCCAAAACAGUGCUAGUUACCGCAUCCAGGUAGAUGGGGUCAGCCUACGACUCCCUCUUUUCCUGGCUUGUAAUAAUUAACCAUUCUAUCAGGGGACUCCGUCUAAUUGUCUUUCCUAUAAGCACUUGGUAAUUAUGAGCACAGCGACGGGGUGAGAAAGUGGGAACACGGGAGGACACAGCUUUCCCUGUUGUGAGUGCCUGUAUCUCCAGCAGCCGCGGGAGCGUGACAGGUGUGGGGAACCGCGACAGCAGCAGGAUGGGGGCCCAUGCCUUCUCUACCUCGUGCCCUAGGCUUCCGCAGUGGAGGGGGGUAGUCUCAGCAGGGAGGGAUGUUCAGCUCAAAGAACUCAGGUGGCCUUCCCGUGGCUGCACAACUCACAGGUGGCAGACCUGGGAUUCCAUCCCGUGCCCUUGACUAUAGCCCACGCCCUUGACCGCUUUGCUUACAUCUUUCCAUUCCGUGUCUGGUUAAAGAUCCAUUAAAAUUGGGAAUGCCCCUUCUCUGAGCCACAGCUUUCUUGGUGUCUUCUUAUCACUGUGAAACGCGACACCAAAAGUCAGAGGGGACCCAAAUGGUUAACAUACUCCUUGUACUCUUGUAGAUACAGUGCCAAGUAAUACUCUGGGGUAUUACUCACUGCUCAGGGCCUCAGGUGCAGAUAGGAAUCAGUCUUCCCAAUGGGCCAGCGCUCAGCAUGGGUUUGCCCCCUCCUUGUUCGGGGGUGCAUGGCCACGUUACCUACUUCCUGCUCCUGGCCUCGACCGGCACAACCAGGGGACCAGGCCAGGCUGGGGAAGGGCAAGGGAGGGCAAGGGAGAAGAUCUUAUUUUUUUUCCGUGGCUUUUGUCGAGGAGAAACUGUAGGCCAGUGGUGAUCUCUGAUCAACAGCCCCUCUUACCUCAUUUGGAAUACUGAGGAGCAGGUGUUUUGUCAGCCUGUGCUUUUACAGAAAUACCAAGAGGUUUUCAGCCUUUUCAAGGAAUUUGCAAACAUCCCAUAUUCCCUUCCCUCUCCAUCUUCUGUCCAGUCACUCGCCCGGAAGAACAGUUGACAGACUUGGCCGUGGCCCACGCCGUUGCCACGUGGUAAUGCCAAAGGGUCUCGGGCCCAGGAGGGGCGUCCCAGCAAACUGCCCAACUCCUGAUACGGGGGGGCAGUGUUUUCUGGCUACAGAGUGUAGCCAGGGUGAACUUUUCUGGCCCGAGCCUUUGCAUAUGCCCAGCAGGGGCUGUGUGCUCGACUUGGAAGAUGCAGGAAGCUGAGGCCCAGCGAGGUGACGGACGGAUGGCCGGCCAAGUGGGGCCAGCAGCUGCGGGAAGCCCAGGUUUCUUGGCACGGACUCUGGGAUUCUUCGCACCGACCAGCUCUUAAGUCCGGGCAGCUCGGGGAUCCAAGAAAGCACCUUUAUUUCUGACUUUCUUCUUCUCUCCUGUAGCCUUCUGCUAAUGUUCAGCGGGGGCCGUGCACCUAGAAAGUCUCCGUCUGAGGCUGCUCCCUCUUGAGAAGAGCAGAAAGUCCCAGUUGGACUUAGGAAGAAUGAAAUCCGUCCCAGGCCCCGAGCUCUCUGAAAAGUUGUUAUUAAAUUCCGCGCGUGGCCCUGACCUGGAUUUAAAGAUUUGCAAGAAGACAAAUUCCAAACAGAUGCCCAUUAGGGCCCUGACAGCCGCAGCUUAAAGAUAACAUUUACAUUC